rnacentral:rRNA from 1 species
UACGUAGGGUGCAAGCGUUAAUCGGAAUUACUGGGCGUAAAGCGUGCGCAGGCGGUUUUGUAAGUCUGUCGUGAAAGCCCCGGGCUCAACCUGGGAAUUGCGAUGGAGACUGCAAGGCUUGAAUCUGGCAGAGGGGGUAGAAUUCCACGUGUAGCAGUGAAAUGCGUAGAGAUGUGGAGGAACACCGAUGGCGAAGGCAGCCCCCUGGGUCUGUACUGACGCUCAUGCACGAAAGCGUGGGGAGCAAACAGG